GUCCAGAUCAGCUAUGAUUAGAGUCCCAUGUAUAAAAAAGAAUUGGUCCCCAAGGAGGUUCUAUUGUGAGGUAAUGAUAGAGCCUAUGAGACGUCUUUAGAACUUUGAGAGACUAGGAGACUCCAGUCCUUUCUUUUCUUGGCCAUGGAGUAAGUGCUUUACUCUGCACACACCACAAUGACCACCUGGUACCCCGAUCAUCAGAGGACUAAAAGCAGUGGGUCGGCCUAACUAUCAGUUGGUCCCCUGAAACUAAAGCACCAACAGAAACACACUAGACCUGUGCACAAGUUGCUGAAGCACCUUUCAGACCACAGAGGAGUAACUGCAAAGACCUGUUCAGGGAAGUCCAGGGCCUCUGCCAGCACCAGGAAGUGGAGUGAUCAGCAGACUCCAGCGUAGCCUAGGGAGAUGAAAACCCGGACGCGGAGUGGAAAGGAAAAAACGUUAAAGACUAGCCAUAGCCAGCAUAAUUUUCACCUUCUGCGAGUCUUUGCACAGGCCUGCCUUUGGUUAGAUAUGAUAAACCAGGAAACCACUAAAGGCCUAUGUAGCCUUUUAUUGUUGAGAGAUGGUCUUACAAUGACUUUGUGACUGACCUGAACUUGCUACAUAGGCAAGGAAGGCCUUCAACUCACAGAGAUCCACCUGCUCUGCCCCCCUGGGUACUGGGGUUAAAGAUGUGCACCAUUAAACCUGGCCUGACAU